AUGACAUUAGGAAAAUGACAUGACUUUGACUUAAAGUAACAAGUCAAGUAAUGUAAGGACCUCAAUGACCUAUUGGCUGGUCUGCCACUUGUGGCUUUUGAGUUUCCAAUCUGAUAUUUCUAUGACAUGCAUAAUAGUAUUUCAUUACGAAGGUAAUAAUAACUUAGAGAAAGAGUUUCCUCUACAUGUUAGGGCCCAUUAAACAAAUGAAAUUCAAUGACUUGGAACAGAAUGACAGUAAGAACUAUGAUUUGAGUUUCAUCUCCCACACAACAGUUAUUGCUGUUUCAUAGAGUUUAGAGGCUGUGUUGUACUCUGUGAUCAUGUGACAGGCGCGAGAGGAAACAGGCGUCACCCCUGUGUGGGAGAUUUUCAGAAAGAGAGAUGUACAGAGGAGAAAGGGGGAGAGAGGGAAGGAUUAUUUAGUUUAUGUAGAGGCUUGUUAGAGUAGAGUAACAUCAGUAAAGGGAUGAAAGGUGUAGAUCAGGACAGAGACAGACAGGUUUUAUGAGAGCAGAGAGAUCAAGUCAGAUUUAGAGUUUGGGGUACAGAGGCAAGGCAAGACAAACAGUACAGUUAUAACACAUUGAGACGAGGAGACCGAAUUGAACAAUAAUAGAGGUCAUUUUGGGGUUCAGGGAUAAGGGUAUAGGGACCAGGGGGAGAGUUUAGGGUUUAUUUUAGUUUUUUGGGGGGUGUGGACAGGUGGAACGAACAGCAGUGUCUUGAUGAGUACAGCAUUGCUGUCAGGAGUCAUAGAACGAACAAGCACAGAGAUGGGGAACACAUGGAUUAUAGGAGUCAUCUCUCUCCUGGCUGUUUCUGCUACCUGGAGUUUGGAAACCGGACAUAACAACCACAUUUCUGUGACCUCUCACACUACACCUCCUUCCACUUCAAUUACAUCUACAGAACUUCGACUGCAUGUUGCCAGAAGUGAACAUUUUCAUCAAGGCCGUGAGGUCAUCUUAACGUGCUGCAAUAAGACUUGGAGUGAAAUGAUCUACACCAUCUGGAAAAUAGACCGGCGUGGAACAGUGUGUCAAAUAUCAUCAGGUGAUAAUGACCAACCUCUUGACUCAUGCAAUGAUGGAAAAGUCAUGCUAAACACAACCAGUGGUGAAUCUUACCUACGCAUUCCUAAGUUCUCAAUCAGUGAUGAGGGAUUCUACUACUGUGAGUCAGUAUACAGAGGAGGGAGCAACUCUGCAAACAUUAAGGUAUCAGUUAUAGCCCCUCCCACAGUGUCUACUUCGCUGAAGUGGGAGGACAAUAAGAGGUUGGCUCUGUGUUUGGCUGAAGGGGGGAAACCAGCUGCCUCCGUCUCCUGGAGGAACCCAUGGAACUUUACUUCAACUACCACAUGGAAACAUGAUGGCUCCAAUGGAGUGGAGAGUCAGUUGGUCCUGCCAGAGGUCAUCCCUAUGGACAACCUGACCUGUGAUGUCAGACAUCCCUUCUGGGUUGAGGUGCAAUCUGUGACACUACCGAUCCCCAAAGGGGCCUUAAUAUCCUGGUUACAUGUCAGCAUCUCCGUGGUAACCGUCAGUGUCAUUAUGGCUACUCUGGGUGGUUUAUACUUCACACGAAAACACCUCUGCAGAAUUAGCCCCGCCACACCAUCUGAGUCCAAGGCUCCUCAGUCACAGGACUAUGUGGAGGAAGUAGAGCCCUAUGCCAGCUAUGUGCAGCGUGUAAACUCCAUCUACAACUCCUCUGCAGACCUGUUCACAUAACACACACACACCACACACACACACACACCCAACCACACACACACACACAAACACACACACACACCCAACCACACACAAACACACACAGACAGACAGAAGGCAGGCAGACAGACAGACAGACAGACAGACAGACAGACAGACAGACAGACAGACAGACAGACAGACAGAGACAGACAGACAGACAGACAGACAGACAGACAGACAGACAGACAGACAGACAGACAGACAGACAGACAGACAGACAGACAGACAGACAGACAGACAGACAGACAGACAGACAGACAGACAGACAGACAGACAGACAGACAGACAGACAGACCUCUGUACACCAGUCUUUACAAAGUUGGAGGUUGAUGAAACUAAGAAAGGCCACAAUGAGCCAGUAAAUGAAACAGGUAGAUAACGGAGGACAUGAUGCAGAGCUUCAGGUAGGAGAGGAAAACCUCACAGAUCACUCCGGUCUGUGGAGGCAGAUGAAAAAGGGAUUCCACCCAGCAGACGUGUGUCACCAGUGCAGACACAGCCCCCACUCCCCCUGCAUCUCUACCGAACCACAGGCCUCUGUCUCAAUGAUAACCUGGAGAACUUACCUCACAACUCAUAAACUUUCCUUACAGAUAACUAUAUAAUAAUGACAUCCUGGAGGCGUGAGAAAAUGGCCAAACAUUAGACAGUUCUACAGAGAUUUCUACAACCAAAGUGACAUGUGGGCAGAUCAGAGAUGAUCUUUCCAGUUUCCUAAUUUGCACACUUAGAACUAUGACUGUGUGUAGUCUGUAUACCACAACUGUAUACCACAGCUCUCAUAACACACACAUUUGACUGUUCUCACACACUUGUGUAUCAUCUGCUACUCGUGGGCAAGAGUGCAAUUUUGAGAUGUUUAAUCAAAAUCAAAAUGUAUAUCACACUGAAGUAUGAUUACAUUGUUUUUGUUGAGUUAAUAUUUAUGAUUGAAUUUAAAUAUCAUGUUUAUUAAAUUUCUUUAUAAUAACAACAUUAGAAACGUACAUCCUGAGCUGAUGGGAAAAGGACGUAAAGCACACACCACAUUCUCUGUGGUUUCAUUCAGGAGAGAAGAGUUUGAAUCUGAGAACUAAGUUUACAACUAAGCUUUUUAAUUGAGUCAGUUGCUUUUGAUUUAGAAAAUGUGUAUGCUUGUUUGCAGAGUGCAAAUUGUACUGUGACAUUUGGGGGAGCCUCUAUUUAAAAUUGUCCUGGUAAAGACGUCAUUUAAUGGUAAAAAUGUAUUACAUUUUAAUGUGGAAUGAACACAACCAGUCACAAUGUUUUCAUCUGUUUGUCAAACAAAUCACUUCUAAAAGUAAGCUACCUGCGGCUGCCCACGUUCAUCCCCAAAAAUUCCAAUCCAAACAGUGCACUGUGCUCGCGGAAUUUGAUUAAUGUAAGGAGACAUCUGUAGUUCUAUUGGUAGUGCUAUAGUUCCUGGGAUGUGUCAGAAAUAUUUUUGGGCCAUUUUCACAGCCAUAAUUAUGAGCGCAAUAGCUGGAGGUGGUGCAAAAGGGCUGCCUUUUGAUGAAUAAACAAGUUGUAGGUGUGCUGAGGGCUUGGACACUCACUAGCCAAUCAACACAUUCCAUGGCUUAAUACUGCAUGUGCUUGCCUCAAGUUUUGUAGGUUAUUGACUGUCUUUGCAUUGUCACCAACUCCAAUUCAGCUGGGGGCACGGAAUAUUUUUGUUCUGGUCCAUUGUGGAUUGAUACUACAGUUUAUUAUUUAGUGUACAAUAACAAAUAAUAGCAACAGUAAAAAAAAAAAUCCAGUACUCAAAAGCCUAUGUUUGGAGUGUUGGCAGUUAACAUUGUUAUAAUUGGCUUCAAUGAGCUUAGCCUACAUGUCUUUACGCAUCAUACUUCACACUUCAUUUCUUUACAAAACAAGAAUAACACCUCACUAUUCACUGCAGUAUAUGUUCACUGCAGUAUAUGUUACAGGAAUGAAUCAGACAUGAUGCAAUAUGCUUCAAUAUGUUUUAUGUCAUUUUUUGGCAUUGAGUGAUUAGAAAAAUACAAGAAUUUGUAUAUACACCAUCUACUGAUACAGAUACAGUAGCAAUGCUAGUCAACCCUGUCUUCUGCAUUUGGCCACAGGUUCUCAUCCACAUCACAUCUUAUGUCAUCUUGGGCAAUACACAUUUGAUCAUGUGGAUGGUGGUCAUAAGCCUUCCACCUCCUUGAGGAAAAUAAUUCCUCUAUGGGGUUGAGGAAUGGAGAGUAAGGUAGGAGGAAAAGCGACACCAUCCUGGGAUGGGCUGCAAACCCUUCUGUGACUGCACGGGAGUGGUGAAAUGCCACAUUGUCCCAUACAAUUACAAACGUUGCCCGAUUUUGCCUCACUGCAAUUCUUUCCUCACCUGGCACAACCCUUCCAUAGAGGUCAUCCAGGAAUGAAAUGAGAUGCUUGGUGUUGUAUGGCCCAAUUAUCAGUUUGUGUAACAGCAAUCCAUCAGAGGAUAUUUUUGCACACAUUGUGAUGUUGGCACCCUUCUGACCCGGGACAUCCACUGUGGCUCUUUUCCCAAUCACAUUUCUUCCUCGCCGCAAAGAUGAAUAUGUGGGGUGUUUGCCUGGCUUCAAUCUCCAUGACUCUCUAAAAUAAAUCCACAAGGCAACAUAAGAUUUAGGCUAUUAUGUUAGUUUACAUUAUACCUAAAAACAUGCCAUUGUGCGCCUCUGCCCUGUUUGGUUUUGAUCAAGGCCAGUUCUGUAUUUUAUAGUCAUCUUACCUGGACAUAUUGGUUCCUGAGUUGCUUGACUUGUUCAGAGUUCCACUCAAAGGGAACAGUGUACAACUGCUUCAUCCUGACUUGAUGUUGUUUCCGGACUCUAGAAAUAGUUGCCAUGCUUACAUUGUGAAUAUUUCCAAAUGUAAUGUUGUCUGCCAACACUGUCCCGAAUAUCUAUGAGUUUUAUGCCAUUGUUUCUGAUUACCAUAUCAAAGUUGCAGUUUCCUGCACAGCAGUGAAAAUCUACCUCUCCCUUUUGGAAGGUGGGAGAAAGGGCUUCCUAAAUAUGAUUAACAGCUGCCUCUAAUUGGGAACCAUACAACCCAGCCACAUAGAAAAUCAAUGACUAGAACACCCCCUAGUC
rnacentral:lncRNA from 8 species